UAGGGAAUCUUCGGCAAUGGACGAAAGUCUGACCGAGCAACGCCGCGUGAGUGAAGAAGGUUUUCGGAUCGUAAAACUCUGUUGUUAGAGAAGAACAAGGACGUUAGUAACUGAACGUCCCCUGACGGUAUCUAACCAGAAAGCCACGGCUAACUACGUGCCAGCAGCCGCGGUAAUACGUAGGUGGCAAGCGUUGUCCGGAUUUAUUGGGCGUAAAGCGAGCGCAGGCGGUUUCUUAAGUCUGAUGUGAAAGCCCCCGGCUCAACCGGGGAGGGUCAUUGGAAACUGGGAGACUUGAGUGCAGAAGAGGAGAGUGGAAUUCCAUGUGUAGCGGUGAAAUGCGUAGAUAUAUGGAGGAACGCCAGUGGCGAAGGCGGCUCUCUGGUCUGUAACUGACGCUGAGGCUCGAAAGCGUGGGGAGCAAACAGG
rnacentral:rRNA from 2 species